UUAGUAGGCCCUGAAUUAAAAAAUAAAUUUAAUAAAAGCGAAAAGACUAAAUUAGCCUCAAGUAUAUAAGAGACGUCACCUACCUUUCUCUCGUUCAGACGCCAUUAUUUCAUUUCCAAGGAGAGAGAAAACAAAUCUCACUCACCUGAAACAGAAAGAAAUCUAGAAAAAAACCGAAAAAAUCAAGAAAUCUUCCUGAAAUCUGUUCCAAAACAAAGAUCGAGAUCAAAAACUAUUCAUCAUUUGCUAACCCCUAAAUCAGAGAAACAGAUCGAAAAAGUUUCAGAUUCAAAAACCAAAAAAAAUCAAAAGAAACAGUUUCAGAUUCAGUUUCAUUAUUCGCCGUUGUUACUUUCCUGUUGAUGAAAUACUCCGACGAUUAAUCACUAGAUCGGAGAAGGAGAACAAUCGUUUGUGCAUAAAAUCCAUGAAAUAACUGAUUAAAUAGAAACAAAGAUUCAGAAUCAAAUUUCUUUUGGAAUAAAAAUGGUGAAAGGAAAAAUGAAUCCCCCUAGAAAAGAUGAUACAAUUACAGGAAACCUAAGGCAGUCGUUGAAUGCAGUA